AUGGAGGCGGUCGCGGCGGCCGGUGGCGCCGGGCUGGCCGGGUGGCAGGCGGCGGCGCUGUCGGGCGCGGCGGGCUGGGUGUGGGCGGCCUCCCACUACGACCUCACGCGCCGGGCGCGCGCGCUGGCGCAGCCCUGGGUCACCCGCCGCGUCCACGCCGAGACGCCCUCCAUCCUCACCUUCCAGAGGCUGCAGCACAGGUUGCUGGACAACUUCUUCUCCGUGCUGUCAUGCUUUGUCUCUGUCCCUUUCUACACGGGAUUCCUCCCCCUCCUCUUCUGGAGUGGACAUGGCAAGCUGGCUAGGCAAAUGACCCUGCUGCUGGCCUUCUGCGAUUACCUGGGCAACGCUGUCAAGGAUUUAGUGUCAGCUCCUCGGCCGUGUUCCCCUCCCGUGAGGAGAGUCACAGCUACCGAAGAUGAGAAGGAAAAUGCCAUGGAAUAUGGACUGCCUUCAUCGCACGCUCUCAACACCGUUUGUUUGAUGGGAUACAUGUUACAUUAUGUCCUCACAUAUGGACCAUGUGAUGGUUUCACGAUUGCCACGGGUCUUUCUCUAGCUUUCAUGCUCGUUACGUUAAUUGGAAUUGCGAGGGUAUACUUGGGCAUGCACAGCUUGACCGACGUUAUCGCUGGGAUCUCUUUUGGCAUCGUGAUCCUUGCAUUCUGGUUGGUUGUCCAUGAUCAUGUUGAUGCCUUUGUCGUCUCCGGCCAAAAUGUCACAUUCUUCUGGGCAAGCCUUUCUCUAGUGCUCUGCUUUGCAUAUCCAAAGCCAGAAUUCCCAACUCCUAGCUUUGAAUUCCACACAGCAUUCAACGGGGUCGCUUUCGGAAUUGUCUACGGCGUGCAGCAGACGUACACCCGUUUCCAUGGCCCGGAAGCCCCCCUCAUUCUCAGCCAUCAACUACCCCUCCUCGCCUAUGCUGGGAGGGUCCUUGUGGGGAUCCCGACCAUCCUGGCCGUGAAGUCCUGUAGCAAGGCGCUCUCGAAAUGGCUCCUGCCGGUCAUGUGCAGCACCCUGGGGGUCCCGAUCGUCUCGUCCUGCUAUGUGCCCGCGCUGAAGCCAUCCGACAUUGGCGGCGGCUCAGGCAACAAGGACGAGGCCAAGCAGGCCGGCGGAUACCUCCAGCGGCUCUUCUCCCUCUUCCCUCAGAAGGCGUAUGAUGUAGACACCGGCAUCAGGUUCGUGCAGUACGCCGGGCUUGCGUGGUCGGUGGUCGACCUGGUGCCGGUGAUCUUCACGCAUCUGAACCUGUGA
rnacentral:rRNA from 1 species